rnacentral:rRNA from 1 species
GAGUUUGAUCCUGGCUCAGAGCGAACGCUGGCGGCAGGCUUAACACAUGCAAGUCGAGCGGGCGUAGCAAUACGUCAGCGGCAGACGGGUGAGUAACGCGUGGGAACGUACCUUUUGGUUCGGAACAACCCAGGGAAACUUGGGCUAAUACCGGAUAAGCCCUUACGGGGAAAGAUUUAUCGCCGAAAGAUCGGCCCGCGUCUGAUUAGCUAGUUGGUGAGGUAACGGCUCACCAAGGCGACGAUCAGUAGCUGGUCUGAGAGGAUGAUCAGCCACAUUGGGACUGAGACACGGCCCAAACUCCUACGGGAGGCAGCAGUGGGGAAUAUUGGACAAUGGGCGCAAGCCUGAUCCAGCCAUGCCGCGUGAGUGAUGAAGGCCCUAGGGUUGUAAAGCUCUUUUGUGCGGGAAGAUAAUGACGGUACCGCAAGAAUAAGCCCCGGCUAACUUCGUGCCAGCAGCCGCGGUAAUACGAAGGGGGCUAGCGUUGCUCGGAAUCACUGGGCGUAAAGGGUGCGUAGGCGGGUCUUUAAGUCAGGGGUGAAAUCCUGGAGCUCAACUCCAGAACUGCCUUUGAUACUGAAGAUCUUGAGUUCGGGAGAGGUGAGUGGAACAGCGAGUGUAGAGGUGAAAUUCGUAGAUAUUCGCAAGAACACCAGUGGCGAAGGCGG